GGGAUUAUACGUCAGGGGACACAGGUUAACUGGUCAGUGUAGUGGGAUUAUACGUCAGGCGACACAGGUUAAGUGGUCAGUCUGUGGGUUUAUAGAUGAGGGGAUACAGGUUAACUGGUCAGUGUAGUGGGAUUAUACGUCAGGCGACACAGGUUAACUGGUCAGUGUCGUGGGAUUAUAGAUGAGGGGAUACAGAUAAACUGGUCAGUGUAGUGGGAUUAUACAUCAGGGGACACAGGUUAACUGGUCAGUCUGUGGGCUUAUAGAUGAGGGGACACAGGUUAACUGGUCAGUGUAGUGGGAUUAUACGUCAGGGGACACAGGUUAACUGGUCAGUGUAGUGGGAUUAUAUGUCAGGCGACACAGGUUAACUGGUCAGUGUAGUGGGAUUAUACGUCAGGGGACACAACUGGUCAGUGUAGUGGGAUUAUACGUCAGGCGACACAGGUUAACUGGUCAGUCUGUGGGUUUAUAGAUGAGGGGAUACAGGUUAACUGGUCAGUGUAGUGGGAUUAUACGUCAGGGGACACAGGUUAACUGGUCAGUGAAGUGGGAUUAUAAAUCAGGGGACACAGGUUAUCUGGUCAGUGUAGUGGGAUUAUAGAUGAGGGGAUACAGAUAAACUGGUCAGUGUAGUGGGAUUAUACAUCAGGGGACACAGGUUAACUGGUCAGUCUGUGGGUUUAUAGAUGAGGGGACACAGGUUAACUGGUCAGUGUAGUGGGAUUAUACAUCAGGGGACACAGGUUAACUGGUCAGUGUAGUGGGAUUAUACGUCAGGGGACACAGGUUGACUGGUCGGUCUGUGGGUUUAUAGAUGAGGGGACACAGGUUAACUGGUCAGUCUGUGGGUUUAUAGAUGAGGGGACACAGGUUAACUGGUCAGUGUAGUGGGAUUAUACAUCAGGGGACACAGGUUAACUGGUCAGUGUAGAGGGAUUAUACGUCAGGGGACACGUAGAUGGAAAAAAUAUGUCCUUGAAAUGGUCUUGAUAUGUUCUUCAAAAGAGAGAUCAGGGUCCAGAGUAACGCCGAGGUCCUUCACAGUUUUAUUUGAGACGACUGUACAACCAUUAAGAUUAAUUGUCAGAUUCAACAGAAGAUCUCUUUGUUUCUUGGGACCUAGAACAAGAAUCUCUGUUUUGUCCGAGUUUAAUAGUAGAAAGUUAGUUGUUAGUUACAUGUUGGUUUGUUUACAUGUAUGUAUGUCAGUGUACAUGUAUGUUUGUUUACAGUACAUGUUUUUUUUUUACAUGUAUGUAUGUCAGUGUACACGUAUGUUUGUUUACCGUACAUGUUGGUUUGUUUACAUGUAUGUAUGUCAGUGUACAUGUAUGUUUGUUUACAGUACAUGUUUUUUUUUUACAUGUAUGUAUGUCAGUGUACACGUAUGUUUGUUUACCGUACAUGUUGGUUUGUUUACAUGUAUGUAUGUCAGUGUACAUGUAUGUUUGUUUACAGUACAUGUUGGUUUGUUUACAUGUAUGUUAGUGUACAUGUAUGUUUGUUUACAGUACAUGUUGGUUUGUUUACAUGUAUGUUAGUGUACAUGUAUGUUUGUUUACAGUACAUGUUGGUUUGUUUACAUGUAUGUUAGUGUACAUGUAUGUUUGUUUACAGUACAUGUUGGUUUGUUUACAUGUAUGUUAGUGUACAUGUAUGCUUGUUUACAGUACAUGUUGGUUUGUUUACAUGUAUGUUAGUGUACACAUAUGUUUGUUUACAGUACAUGUUGGUUUGUUUACAUAUAUGUAUGUCAGUGUACAUGUAUGUUUGUUUACAGUACAUGUUGGUUUGUUUACAUGUGUGUAUGUCAGUGUACACGUAUGUUUGUUUACAGUACAUGUUGGUUUGUUUACAUGUAUGUUAGUGUACACAUAUGUUUGUUUACCACUUGUUUAAAUGUAUGCUUUACAUGCAGUUUCACAUUUCAGCCCUGUUGACCCCUAGAACAUAUUAGCCCUGUUGACCCCUAGAACAUAUCAGCCCUGUUGACCCCUAGAACAUAUUAGCCCUGUUGACCCCUAGAACAUAUCAGCCUUGUUGGCCCCUAGAACAUAUCAGCCCUGUUGGUCCCUAGAACAUAUCAGCCCUGUUGGUCCCUAGAACAUAUCAGCCCUGUUGGUCCCUAGAACAUAUCAGCCCUGUUGGCCCCUAGAACAUAUCAGCCCUGUUGGUCCCUAGAACAUAUCAGCCCUGUUGGUCCCUAGAACAUAUCAGCCCUGUUGGUCCCUAGAACAUAUCAGCCCUGUUGGCCCCUAGAACAUAUCAGCCCUGUUGGUCCCUAGAACAUAUCAGCCCUGUUGGACAUAUCAGCCCUGUUGGUCCCUAGAACAUAUCAGCCCUGUUGGUCCCUAGAACAUAUCAGCCCUGUUGGUCCCUAGAACAUAUCAGCCCUGUUGGUCCCUAGACCAUAUCAGCCCUGUUGGACAUAUCAGCCCUGUUGGUCCCUAGACCAUAUCAGCCCUGUUGGACAUAUCAGCACUGUUGGCCCCUAGAACACAUCAGAUUGGUCUGGGGAAUGAACAGGGGGGGGGGAUCUUGGUCUGAAUCUCCAUGGAAACAUCAUCUCCUCUUCUGGUUACCGUAGAAACACCAUGGUGAGCAGACCUUAGAGACAAAUAAAUAAGAGUUACACACACGCACACGCGCGCACACACACACGCACAGAUGUCUUACCCAGUGUGUAGGCGCACACCAAUUUCUGUGUGACAGUCACAUGGGCAUAGCUAGGAACCAAGUUGUUGGGCUCAGAGUGGAGGGGGAGCAUUAAGAAAGCAACACACACCACACCCAUCACCACCGACACUGCAAACUGGGACAGUCUCCGAACUAGAGGGGAGAGAGAGAUGAUACAUGUUGACUGAGAUGUAACUGUUUCUAUAAGGGGAGAGAGAUGAUACAUGUUGACUGAGAUGUAACUGUUUCUAUAAGGGGAGAGAGAUGAUACAUGUUGACUGAGAUGUGACCAUUUCCUCAGGAAGGAGAAAUCUCGUCAGGGUGCCUGUAGAUCUAACUGAGGAGUAUGUAGGUAGAGGUUGAGAGACAGGGUGAGGGAGGGAGGGGGGAGUCAGUGGGUCUAUGCUGGGGGGUGUCCUCUCUCCCCCUGUAUGGAGGGCUAACUAAGUGACUCACCUUUCUGGGGCAAUGUGAAGUAAGGUAGAGGAGUGAGUGAGAGAGGGAGGGAGGAGUCUCGGGGGGCUAGUGGGUCGAUUCUGGGCAGUGGCCUCUCCUCCCGUUUCGCCCCCUGCCCUCCCCCCGACACCUCCAGGCGGAACCGAUCUCUCCUUCCCCAGUGGCGGGGGGACACAUCUUGGUGACGCACCACUCUGUGGGGAGAAAGAGGAAGUCAGGUCAGAUGACAGGAAGUCUCAGGUUGUGUCCAAAAUGGCACCAUAUUUCCUUUUAGAGCCCUACAUUCAGGGGGUCAACAGUACUGCCC
ensembl:lncRNA